AACGAACGCUGGCGGCGCGCCUAACACAUGCAAGUCGAACGAGAAGGCGUAGCAAUACGCUUGUAAAGUGGCGAACGGGUGAGGAACACGUGGGUAACCUACCCUUGAGUGGGGAAUAACCCGCCGAAAGGUGGGCUAAUGCCGCGUACGCUUCCAUCUCUUCGGGGGUGGAAGGAAAGCUGUACCGAGGGUACGGCGCUCUAGGAUGGGCUCGCGUCCUAUCAGCUUGUUGGUAGGGUAACGGCCACCAAGGCAACGACGGGUAGCUGGUCUGAGAGGACGAUCAGCCACACUGGCACUGCGACACGGGCCAGACUCCUACGGGAGGCAGCAGUGAGGAAUAUUGCGCAAUGGGCGAAAGCCUGACGCAGCGACGCCGCGUGGGGA
rnacentral:rRNA from 1 species